UACGUAGGGCGCGAGCGUUAAUCGGAAUUACUGGGCGUAAAGCGUGCGCAGGCGGUUUUGUAAGCCAGAUGUGAAAUCCCCGGGCUUAACCUGGGAAUGGCAUUUGGGACUGCAAGGCUUGAGUGCGGCAGAGGAGACUGGAAUUCCUGGUGUAGCAGUGAAAUGCGUAGAUAUCAGGAGGAACACCGAUGGCGAAGGCAGGUCUCUGGGCUGACACUGACGCUCAUGCACGAAAGCGUGGGGAGCAAACAGG
rnacentral:rRNA from 1 species